rnacentral:tRNA from 1 species
GCCGAAGUGGCGGAACUGGCAGACGCGCACGAUUCAGGGUCGUGUGGGCUAACGCCCGUGGGGGUUCAAUUCCCCCCUUCGGCACCA